rnacentral:rRNA from 1 species
UAGGGAAUCUUCGGCAAUGGACGAAAGUCUGACCGAGCAACGCCGCGUGAGUGAAGAAGGUUUUCGGAUCGUAAAACUCUGUUGUUAGAGAAGAACAAGGACGUUAGUAACUGAACGUCCCCUGACGGUAUCUAACCAGAAAGCCACGGCUAACUACGUGCCAGCAGCCGCGGUAAUACGUAGGUGGCAAGCGUUGUCCGGAUUUAUUGGGCGUAAAGCGAGCGCAGGCGGUUUCUUAAGUCUGAUGUGAAAGCCCCCGGCUCAACAGGGGAGGGUCAUUGGAAACUGGGAGACUUGAGUGCAGAAGAGGAGAGUGGAAUUCCAUGUGUAGCGGUGAAAUGCGUAGAUAUAUGGAGGAACACCAGUGGCGAAGGCGGCUCUCUGGUCUGUAACUGACGCUGAGGCUCGAAAGCGUGGGGAGCAAACAGG